rnacentral:rRNA from 1 species
UAGUGGAGUGAUUUGUCUGGUUAAUUCCGAUAACGAACGAGAUCCUUGCCAUUUAAAUAGCAGAACAAUCUUCGGAUUGUAUCGGCUUCUUAGAGGUACAACGUAGAAUACAUACUACGAGGAAGUGGGGCGUAUAACAA